rfam:Haemonchus placei strain MHpl1 genome assembly, scaffold: HPLM_scaffold0002397
GGUUCUGUCCCAGUACCACAAGGUACUAUGGGAUUCUGAUCAACCUUCGCGGUUGCGUCAAAACCUAAAUUUUUGGAUAGCCUUCCUGGGGUAUCCGGGAGGGCAGC